CUUACUUUAGCUCAGUUGGUAGAGUGGUGGACUGUAGUUGGACUAAUCUAAAUUGGAAAUCCUUAGGUCGCUGGUUUGAUUCCGGCAGGUCGGA
rnacentral:tRNA from 1 species